GAUGAACGCUGGCGGCGUGCCUAAUACAUGCAAGUCGAGCGAACAGACGAGGGGCUUGCUCCUUUGACGUUAGCGGCGGACGGGUGAGUAACACGUGGAUAACCUACCUAUAAGACUGGGAUAACUUCGGGAAACCGGAGCUAAUACCGGAUAACAUGUUGAACCGCAUGGUUCAACAGUGAAAGACGGUCUUGCUGUCACUUAUAGAUGGAUCCGCGCCGCAUUAGCUAGUUGGUAAGGUAACGGCUUACCAAGGCAACGAUGCGUAGCCGACCUGAGAGGGUGAUCGGCCACACUGGAACUGAGACACGGUCCAGACUCCUACGGGAGGCAGCAGUAGGGAAUCUUCCGCAAUGGGCGAAAGCCUGACGGAGCAACGCCGCGUGAGUGAAGAAGGUCUUCGGAUCGUAAAACUCUGUUAUUAGGGAAGAACAAAUGUGUAAGUAACUAUGCACGUCUUGACGGUACCUAAUCAGAAAGCCACGGCUAACUACGUG
rnacentral:rRNA from 1 species